rnacentral:lncRNA from 1 species
AUGCCCCUGGAGAAGAUCACCUGGCAGCUUGUUAGGCUGCUUCACGCUGUCUCAGGGCUGCCACGUACCGUCCAGCUCCACAAGGACGCACCUGGGCUCCAGCGCCCUGGGGUUCCCGGGUCUGAAGGUCGAUGGGCCUGUGUUCUAAAGCCAAGGACAAACACACAGAUGGCAGUGUCGACGUGGGCCACACAGGCAAGCACGGGCCUCAGCUCUGCUCCCGGAGAACGUCACCGAGACAAACCACGGCUUCGGGGCCACUGGAAAAGGGAUACCCUACCACACUCUGACGCCUGCAGACGUGUGACAGCUCCGUCAGAGGUCUUGGUGACAACAGGAAAGCCGGAGCCGUGGUUUCACGGGCAAUGCAUCUUCUCUGUUUCCAGUGGCGCCUCUUAGAACACGCGACCCUGCGUCCCACGGAACGCGCUUCAAUGGGAACGUCUAAGAGGAAGGCGGUGAGCACCCACGGGGCAAUGAACCAAGCCCGUGCCGUCUAUGGCUUAAAGCCAAACAAGAGCCAAGUGGCCAGGGCUUUAUUGAAGAUGCGGAGAGAAUACUGCCAACCUGCACACACGGGGACUCUAUGCUGAGACACCAAGCAGGACACGGAAAAUCUCCCCUCGUUUAAGCACGUGAAAAGACAUGGAGGGGGCAGGCAUUGCGGCGCACAGGGUUAAGCCACCACUUGGGGCCCCUAUCCAAUCCCAGUUCCUGCUAAUGCGCGAGGGAAAGCAACAGAAGAUGGCCCCAGGAUUUGGGUUUCUGCUAUGCACGUGGAAGACCCAGAUGGAGUUCCUAGCUCCUGGCUAUGUCCUGGCUCAGCCACGGCCGUU